GUUCUCUCUCACACAGCUCAGUUAGCUAUUCAAUACGGCAGUGAAAUGCACUAGUAAAUUCUAUGUAAACAAUCAAAAGGACAGUGCUCAUCCCAAAAUAACGUAUUCUCCAGGCGUAAUGGAAACACAGCACGAAGAUUCAUCCUUCUGUCAUGAGUCAUGUGCUGAAGCCUUGAUAUUUUAUUUCCCUUACGGCGUCCGUGACGACGGUGGGAUAAUUAAAGAUAGAAAUGCACAUUUUUAUCAUUUCUGUUAUAAUAUCCACGGGAAUAUUACAGCAAACAAAUUUGCAACAUACUUUUAUUAAAACAUACGUUUGAAUCAUUUCACACGUCGUAUCACUUUGAGGUUUCUUUUUGAGUUGGCUGUUAAAUGAAUGAACCACUACUCUGCUACAAUAAGCGUGUGUCUGCUUUAGCAAAUAUUUUCGGUCAACAACCGAAUGUCAAUCGGAAACCGUUCGGGAAUUCCCGUCAAACUUCCAACCUGACGGAGUGACACAAAUAGAUACAGAGCAACAGAAUGAUGACAAUGUCUGUUGGGAAAUCAGUCUUUUAUCUUGUUCGUGGUGCUGCGUGAAUAUGAAAUUAUUCACUAUUGUAACUAGCUGAACCAUUGACGCUGUUAGUUACCUGGCCCACUGAAAUUUUGUGCAAUUGCCAUAUCGAACCCAUAUGGCCCAAGAAAUGUUGUUACCUUUAUAAGCCUCUUAAUCUUAUACGCAUGUUUCUCCAAUAGAUAAAAAAAGAAUUUGUUUUGAAAUUUUCAGUGAUAGUUUGUUCAUUUCAAAAUUACUAUGGAUUUCUUUUUUUCUUCUUCUUUUUUUAUUUGUAUUUUAUUUUCCACAAUGCUUUCCCCAAGUCUGUCAGCAGUAAUUUCUGUUUGCAUGGUGCUAUUGUCAACAACACCACUCAGUUAGAUACUUAGUAAUAUCUAAGUAAGAAACGGACACAAAAGACAGCAUUGUGUGGGUUGUUCAACUCUACGAUUCUAAGAUAUGGACUAGACUGGCUGGGCUUCGCGUAAGUGUAUGCUAAUAAAAUCGAUAUACGGAAA